GACGAACCGUGCGAACGUUAUUCGGAAUCACUGGGCUUAAAGCGCGUGUAGGCGGGACGGCACGUCGGUCGCUGAAAUCCCCCGGCUCAACCGGGGAACGGGCGCCGAUACGACCGCCCUGGAGGGGCGUAGGGGGACCUGGAACUUCCGGUGGAGCGGUGAAAUGCGUUGAGAUCGGAAGGAACGCCCGUGGCGAAAGCGGCUCUCUGGGACGGUACUGACGCUGAGACGCGAAAGCGUGGGGAGCGAACAGG
rnacentral:rRNA from 1 species